rnacentral:rRNA from 1 species
AGAGUUUGAUCAUGGCUCAGAACGAACGCUGGCGGCAUGCCUAACACAUGCAAGUCGAACGCCAUCCUCUGGAUGGAGUGGCGCACGGGUGAGUAACGCGUGGGAACCUGCCUUUUUCUGCGGGACAACGAUUGGAAACGAUCGCUAAUACCGCAUACGCCCUACGGGGGAAAGGUCCGCCGGAGAGAGAGGGGCCCGCGUUUGAUUAGCUAGUUGGUGAGGUAAUGGCUCACCAAGGCGACGAUCAAUAGCUGGUCUGAGAGGAUGAUCAGCCACACUGGGACUGAGACACGGCCCAGACUCCUACGGGAGGCAGCAGUGGGGAAUAUUGGACAAUGGGGGCAACCCUGAUCCAGCAAUGCCGCGUGUGUGAUGAAGGCCUUAGGGUUGUAAAGCACUUUCACUGGCGAAGAUGAUGACGGUAACCAGAGAAGAAGCCCCGGCUAACUUCGUGCCAGCAGCCGCGGUAAUACGAAGGGGGCGAGCGUUGUUCGGAAUUACUGGGCGUA